rnacentral:lncRNA from 1 species
GGGAAGUCCAGUCCUAGACCCCACUCUCCUCCAGGCUCAGACUUGGGACUCUGUACCUGGGAGGCGCGCCGCGCGGCUGGGACCCGCCUCCCGGGUGCUGGAGCRACCCCGCCCUCCCGGGCCAAGUCCCUGCGCUAGGCGGCCGCGGCUCCGGAGCUGGAGCCGGCGAGCAGGUGGGGGCGGCGGCCCCGCCUCCGCGUCCCGGCAGCACCAGAGCUGACGGCCGGGGAGCCAGCGGGGCACACCGAGCGCGCAGCACCGAGCGCCGCGCGGCCUCAGCGGCGUCUCCUGGAGCACGGGCGCUGCGGGACGGAGCCCAGAGCGGGGAGGCGGCGGGGACGGCGGCCCCACCUCGAGUCCAGACCCGUCCAGGGCACGGCCAUCUGCAGAGCAGAAACCCCUCUCUUGGGACCACUCAUAAACAAGAGACACCAACAGUGCCAUGCCAGUGCCGCCGCCGCCCCCACCUCCUCUGCCUCCACCUCCCCCACCUCUGGGAGCUCCUCCCCCGCCUCUGGGAGCUCCUCCCCCUCCCCCACCAUCAGCACCUCCGGUGUAAAGAACAGUAUCAGACUCACCUACAGCCUGCAGCCCCCGUGAAAAGCUCCUAAUUCUGCUUUACCUACAGAUAAGAGAA